GAGGGUAUAGCUCAGUGGUAGAGUGUGUGCUUAGCAUGCAGAAGGUCCUGGGUUCAAACCCCAGUACUGCCA
rnacentral:tRNA from 1 species